rnacentral:rRNA from 1 species
AUUGAACGCUGGCGGCAGGCCUAACACAUGCAAGUCGAACGAGUGGCGGACGGGUGAGUAAUGUCUGGGAAACUGCCUGAUGGAGGGGGAUAACUACUGGAAACGGUAGCUAAUACCGCAUACCAUCGGAUGUGCCCAGAUGGGAUUAGCGAGUAGGUGGGGUAAAGGCUCACCUAGGCGACGAUCCCGAGCUGGUCUGAGAGGAUGACCGGCCACACUGGAACUGGGACACGGUCCAGACUCCUACGGGAGGCAGCCGUGGGGAAUAUUGCACGAUGGGCGCAAGCCUGAUGCGGCCAUGCCGCGUGUAUGAAGAAGGCCUGCGGGUUGUAAGGUACUUGCAGCGGGGAGGCGUUACCCGCAGAAGAAGCACCGGCUAACUCCGUGCCAGCAGCCGCGGUAAUUC